CAUAGAAAGGAAGAUUUUGUUUUGUGAGAAUAAAACAAAUGGAAACUAUCACAAUCGCACCCACGAAUCAUUCAACUGCACUUCUUCUCUUGAUAUUGUUCGAAACCAUGAAAAUUACCAAACAACUUGACAACGGAUCCGGCGCUAUACCAGGAUUGUUUCCGUAUCAAGUAUUCAUUACUGAAUUCGAUCAAUUCAUCUGUGGCGGCGGAAUAAUCGACGCGAGUCAUGUGCGAGUCAUGUGCCGGCUGGUCACUGUGUGGUUGAUGUACGAAGAUGGGCCCUCAAAGUCGUAGCUGGCGUAAUAUAUUUGGGCGACAGUAGUGCAAUCAAGCGACAUAUAAGUCAGAUUCAUGUGCAUCCAGAUUAUAGCUCUGACAUCAAUGAUAUUGCUGUAUUGACGCUUCAAAGGCCUCUCGAAUGGCAGAAUACCAUUGGAUCUAUGGCAUUACCGAGAACCAGAGUUGAAGCAACGAACUUCAGUUGCUCAAUAUGUUAUUUUGUUGGUUGGGGACAAACCGAAGAAGGGUAUGAUCCCCCGUCGGGAAUGCUUGUAUAUGUGGAAAUGAUGAUCUGGACAGUUAGAGAGUAUAGAAAAAGAAGAAUGCUUCCAUCAGUACCCGAAUCCUGUGCUGAGGAUAUUUUCGGAGAAGCGAUACCACGUAAUGGAGACAGUGGCAGCCCAAUUGUUUGCAAUGAUGAGGCUGUGGGUAUUCUCAGCGCUUGGCCGACGGUUGGAGGAUCAACAGCACUGUUUGAGAGUGUGCAAGCUCAUCUGAAUUUCAUCAACAAUGCACGCAGAAUUUAGCUUUUAGCUUAAUAUCUUUAGAUGGAAACUGACGUAUUGGUGAUAAUUGUCCUUCUCGCAUGGGACUCACCAUAAAGCACAGUCACUGCUUGGAAACUUUUUCUGCUUCUCCACAAAAUAAGG